UUACUUUGUGAACACGUUUCCAUUUUAAGCUUGGAUCAUGGUGAAUUUUGAGGUGGAAGUUUGGUAAACCAAUCAUAUUUGAAAAAUUUCUAAGUACCAAGCCAUAUGUUCACUUCUUCCACAUUGAAUAACUUUUGCUAUAGGCUUCAAAUGAAAAACGUUCCUUCAUCAAAUUUGUAUCUCUUUCCAACCUCUUAAAUUUG
rnacentral:lncRNA from 1 species